rnacentral:rRNA from 1 species
CGUAGGGGGCUAGCGUUGUCCGGAAUCAUUGGGCGUAAAGCGCGCGUAGGCGGCCCGGUAAGUCCGCUCUGAAAGUCCAGGGCUCAACCCUGGAAAGCGGGUGGAUACUGCCGGGCUAGAGUCCGGAAGAGGCGAGUGGAAUUCCUGGUGUAGCGGUGGAAUGCGCAGAUAUCAGGAGGAACACCAACAGCGAAGGCAGCUCGCUGGGACGGUACUGACGCUGAGGCGCGAAAGCGUGGGGAGCGAACAGGAUUAGAUACCCUGGUAGUCCACGCCGUAAACGAUGGGCACUAGGUGUGGGAGGUGUCGACUCCUCCCGUGCCGACGCUAACGCAUUAAGUGCCCCGCCUGGGGAGUACGGCCGCAAGGCUA